UACGUAGGGGGCAAGCGUUGUCCGGAAUCAUUGGGCGUAAGAGCGCGUAGGCGGUCCGGUAAGUCCGCUCUGAAAGUCCGGGGCUCAACCCCGGGAGGCGGGCGGAUACUGCCGGGCUAGAGUCCGGAAGAGGCGAGGUGGAAUUCCUGGUGUAGCGGUGAAAUGCGCAGAUAAUCAGGAGGAACACCGAUGGCGAAGGCAGCUCGGCGGGACGGUGA
rnacentral:rRNA from 1 species